AUUGAACGCUGGCGGCAGGCCUAACACAUGCAAGUCGAGCGGUAGAGAGGAGCUUGCUUCUCUUGAGAGCGGCGGACGGGUGAGUAAUGCCUAGGAAUCUGCCUGGUAGUGGGGGAUAACGUUCGGAAACGGACGCUAAUACCGCAUACGUCCUACGGGAGAAAGCAGGGGACCUUCGGGCCUUGCGCUAUCAGAUGAGCCUAGGUCGGAUUAGCUAGUUGGUGGGGUAAUGGCCCACCAAGGCGACGAUCCGUAACUGGUCUGAGAGGAUGAUCAGUCACACUGGAACUGAGACACGGUCCAGACUCCUACGGGAGGCAGCAGUGGGGAAUAUUGGACAAUGGGCGAAAGCCUGAUCCAGCCAUGCCGCGUGUGUGAAGAAGGUCUUCGGAUUGUAAAGCACUUUAAGUUGGGAGGAAGGGCAGUAAAUUAAUACUUUGCUGUUUUGACGUUACCGACAGAAUAAGCACCGGCUAACUCUGUGCCAGCAGCCGCCGUAA
rnacentral:rRNA from 1 species